CAGCAGCCGCGGGAAUACGGAGGAUCCGAGCGUUAUCCGGAAUUAUUGGGUUUAAAGGGUGCGUAGGCGGAUAGAUAAGUCAGUGGUGAAAGACGGUGGCUCAACCAUCGCAGUGCCGUUGAUACUGUUUAUCUUGAAUAUGGAUGAGGUAGGCGGAAUGUGGCAAGUAGCGGUGAAAUGCAUAGAUAUGCCACAGAACACCGAUUGCGAAGGCAGCUUACCAAGGCAAAAUUGACGCUGAGGCACGAAAGCGUGGGGAUCGAACAGGAUUAGAUACCCCAGUAGUCCCUGUCUCUUAUAA
rnacentral:rRNA from 1 species